UACGGAGGAUCCAAGCGUUAUCCGGAUUUAUUGGGUUUAAAGGGUGCGUAGGCGGAUAAGUAAGUCAGUGGUGAAAGCCUGCAGCUUAACUGUAGAAUUGCCAUUGAUACUGCUUGUCUUGAGGACAGUUGAGGUGGGCGGAAUAUGACAUGUAGCGGUGAAAUGCUUAGAUAUGUCAUAGAACACAGAUUGCGAAGGCAGCUCGCUAAACUGUAUCUGACGCUGAGGCACGAAAGCGUGGGGAUCAAACAGG
rnacentral:rRNA from 1 species